UACGAAGGGGGCUAGCGUUGCUCGGAAUCACUGGGCGUAAAGCGCACGUAGGCGGCUUUUUAAGUCAGGGGUGAAAUCCUGGAGCUCAACUCCAGAACUGCCUUUGAUACUGGGAAGCUCGAGUCCGGGAGAGGUGAGUGGAACUCCGAGUGUAGAGGUGAAAUUCGUAGAUAUUCGGAAGAACACCAGUGGCGAAGGCGGCUCACUGGCCCGGUACUGACGCUGAGGUGCGAAAGCGUGGGGAGCAAACAG
rnacentral:rRNA from 1 species